UGCAAGUCGAGGGGCAGCGAGGGAGUGGCAGCACUUCCGUCGGCGACCGGCGCACGGGUGAGUAACGCGUAUGCAACCUGCCCUUCACAGGGGGAUAACCGGGAGAAAUUCCGACUAAUACCGCAUACGUCCUCCGGGGGCAUCCCCGGGGGAUGAAAGAAUUAUCGGUGAAGGAUGGGCAUGCGUGAUAUUAGGUAGUUGGCGGGGCAACGGCCCACCAGGCCCACGAUAUCUAGGGGUUCUGAGAGGAAGGUCCCCCACAUUGGUACUGAGACACGGACCAAACUCCUACGGGAGGCAGCAGUGAGGAAUAUUGGUCAAUGGACGAGAGUCUGAACCAGCCAAGUCGCGUGAAGGAAGACGGAUCUAUGGUUUGUAAACUUCUUUAGUGCGGGAACAAAGCGGCGUCGUGACGCCUGAUGAGUGUACCGCAAGAAUAAGCAUCGGCUAACUCCGUGCCAGCAGCCGCGGUAAUACGGAGGAUGCGAGCGCUAUCCGGAUUUAUUGGGUUUAAAGGGAGCGCAGGCUGCGAGGCAAGUCAGCGGUCAAAUGUCGGGGCUCAACCCCGGCCUGCCGUUGAAACUGUCCUGCUAGAGUUCGAGUGAGGUAUGCGGAAUGCGUUGUGUAGCGGUGAAAUGCAUAGAUAUGACGCAGAACUCCGAUUGCGUAGGCAGCAUACCAACUCGCGACUGACGCUGAGGCUCGAAAGCGUGGGUAUCGAACAGGAUUAGAUACCCUGGUAGUCCACGCAGUAAACGAUGAAUACUAACUGUUCGGAGGGCGACCUCUGAGUGGUAAAGCGAAAGCGUUAAGUAUUCCACCUGGGG
rnacentral:rRNA from 1 species